UACGAAGGGGGCUAGCGUUGUUCGGAAUCACUGGGCGUAAAGCGCAUGCAGGCGGAUCGUUAAGUCGGGGGUGAAAUCCCGAGGCUCAACCUCGGAACUGCCUUCGAUACUGAAGAGCUCGAGUCCGGGAGAGGUGAGUGGAACUGCGAGUGUAGAGGUGAAAUUCGUAGAUAUUCGCAAGAACACCAGUGGCGAAGGCGGCUCACUGGCCCGGUACUGACGCUGAGACGCGAAAGCGUGGGGAGCGAACAGG
rnacentral:rRNA from 1 species